rnacentral:rRNA from 1 species
GACGAGGGAUCCUAGCGUUGUUCGGAAUCAUUGGGCGUAAAGCGGGUGUAGGUGGCUUUGUAAGUCAGAUGUGAAAUCCCUGGGCUUAACCCAGGACGUGCAUUUGAUACUGCAGAGCUUGAGUGUGGGAGAGGCUAGUGGAAUUCCUGGUGUAGUGGUGAAAUACGUAGAUAUCAGGAGGAACAUCGGUGGCGAAGGCGGCUAGCUGGCCCAACACUGACACUGAGAUCCGAAAGCGUGGGGAUCAAACAGG